AUGCCUUCAGAGGCCUGGGACGGCAUAGCACACUGGCAGAAGAAUGGAUUUGGGAGGCAGCGGCUGUCAGUCCGACGGCGGAGAAGGAGCAGUGAAGAGCUCCUGAAGAUAGAAGAUCCCGUGGAAGUCCUGGAUGGGCGGCAGCUAUGCAAAAGAGCUUAAAGGCCGCCGCCCACCAGGUGAAGAUGUCAGAAGACCUGGGCAGGCGGCGGCUAUGCAAAAGAGCUUAAAGGCCGCUGUCUCCCAGGUGAAGACCCUGAAUAAUAAAAUUUAUUUUAAAAA